UACGGGGGGUGCGAGCGUUGUCCGGAAUCACUGGGCGUAAAGGGCGCGUAGGUGGCCUGAUAAGGGUGUGGUGAAAGUCCGGGGCUCAACCCCGGAUCUGCCGUGCCGACUGUUAGGCUAGAGUACUGUAGGGGCAGGCGGAAUUCCGGGUGUAGCGGUGGAAUGCGUAGAGAUCCGGAGGAAGACCGGUGGCGAAGGCGGGUCUCUGGGCCGAUACUGACACUGAGGCGCGACAGCGUGGGGAGCAAACAGG
rnacentral:rRNA from 1 species